rnacentral:rRNA from 1 species
GUAUUGGUGGCAGUAACUCUGUUACAUAAAUUUCUGGGUAAAUUUUUGAUUAUGACUUAAUUUAUCUAUAAGUCUUGACCAAGUCACGUGCCAGCAGUCGCGGUAAUACGUGGAAGACAAGUGUUAUUCAUCUUUAUCAGGUUUAAAGGGUACCCAGACAGUUAAUUAAGCCUCCACAAAAGGGACUGAUUAUACUAGAGUUUUAUGAAAGAAGGCUAGAACGGUGAGUGUAGAGAUGAAAUAUGUUGAUACCACUUGGAAACUGGCAACGGCGAAAGCAACCUUUUAUGUAAAAACUGACGUUGAAGGACGAAGGCUCAAUUGAAAGAACAGG